rnacentral:rRNA from 1 species
AUUGAACGCUGGCGGCAUGCUUUACACAUGCAAGUCGAACGGCAGCGCGGGCUUCGGCCUGGCGGCGAGUGGCGAACGGGUGAGUAAUACAUCGGAACGUGCCCAGUAGUGGGGGAUAGCUCGGCGAAAGCCGGAUUAAUACCGCAUACGACCUGAGGGUGAAAGCGGGGGAUCUUCGGACCUCGCGCUCUUGGAGCGGCCGAUGGCAGAUUAGCUAGUUGGUGGGGUAAAGGCCUACCAAGGCGACGAUCUGUAGCUGGUCUGAGAGGACGACCAGCCACACUGGGACUGAGACACGGCCCAGACUCCUACGGGAGGCAGCAGUGGGGAAUGUUGGACAAUGGGCGAAAGCCUGAUCCAGCAAUGCCGCGUGUGUGAUGAAGGCCUUCGGGUUGUAAAGCACUUUUGGCGGGAAAGAAAAGGACUGUGCCAAUACCACGGUUCGAUGACGGUACCCGCAGAAUAAGCACCGGCUAACUACGUG